rnacentral:rRNA from 1 species
CGAGCGCCUCGCAGAGGAGCGGCAGACGGGUGAGUAACGCGUGGGAAUCUACCCAUCUCUACGGAACAACUCCGGGAAACUGGAGCUAAUACCGUAUACGUCCUUCGGGAGAAAGAUUUAUCGGAGAUGGAUGAGCCCGCGUUGGAUUAGCUAGUUGGUGGGGUAAUGGCCUACCAAGGCGACGAUCCAUAGCUGGUCUGAGAGGAUGAUCAGCCACACUGGGACUGAGACACGGCCCAGACUCCUACGGGAGGCAGCAGUGGGGAAUAUUGGACAAUGGGCGCANNCCUUCUUUNGCUUUCCCGCGUGAUUGAUAAAGGCCCGGUUUAAAAUUCUUUCAAUAAGGGAAGAAUUCCUUUACAGAAAAAACCCCGGCUAACUUUAUGCCAGCAGCCGCGGUAAUACAAAGGGGGCUAGCGUUCUUGGAAUUACUGGGNUUAAAGCNCCGUAAGCCNAUACUUAAUUCAGGGGUGAAAUCCCGGGGCUCAACCCCGGAACUGCCUUUGANNUNGGUUAUCCCGAGUCCGGGAGANGGAUAGAAUUUCGAGUUANAGGUGAAAUUCGUACAUAUUCGGGGGAAAACCNUUGGCGAAGNGGCCUCCCCCGUCCAGUAAAGAUGCCAAGGNGCNAAAUCNUGGGGNUCAAACAGGNNUAGAUCCCCUGGUANUUCCCGCUGUAAACGAUGGNAUUUAGCCGUUGGCAAUUUUUACUUGUUGCCGGGGCAGCCUUCGCCCUAAGUUUUCCCCCNGGGGGUUCGAAUCCACCUUAAAAAUUAAAGGANUUGNUGGGGUCUCGCGCAACGCGGUGGAGCCAGUAUCUAAUUCAGACUCAAGGGGCAGAACCUUACCAUCCCCCGACAUUCAGGUAGCGGUUUCCAGAGAUGGAUACCCUCAGUUUGGCUGGACCGGUGACAGGCGUUGCAUGGCUGUCGUCAGCUCGUGUCAUGAGAUCUUGGGUUAAGUCCCGCAANGAGCGCAACCCUCGCCCUUAGUUNCCAGCAUUCAGUUGGGCACUCUAAGGGGACUGCCGGUGAUAAGCCGAGAGGAAGGUGGGGAUGACGUCAAGUCCUCAUGGCCUUACGGGCGGCUAACACGUGCUACAAUGGUGGUGACAGUGGGAGCGGACCGCGAGGUCGAGCAAUCUCCAAAAGCCAUCUCAGUUCGGAUUGCACUCUGCAACUCGAGUGCAUGAAGUUGGAAUCGCUAGUAAUCGCGGAUCAGCAUGCCGCGGUGAAUACGUUCCCGGGCCUUGUACACACCGCCCGUCACACCAUGGGAGUUGGUUUUACCCGAAGGCGCUGUGCUAACCGCAAGGA